rnacentral:rRNA from 1 species
GACGAACGCUGGCGGCGUGCUUAACACAUGCAAGUCGAACGGGAGUAUUGAAGAAGCUUGCUUUAGAGAUACUUUAGUGGCGGACGGGUGAGUAACGCGUGAGGAGCUGUCCGAUGCAGGGGGACAACAGUUGGAAACGACUGCUAAUACCCCAUAAGCCGAGAGGUAAAAGGAUUUAUCCGGCAAUGGAGGUACUCGCGUCCUAUCAGCUAGUAGGUGAGGUAACGGCUCACCUAGGCGAAGACGGGUAGCCGGCCUGAGAGGGCGAACGGCCACACUGGAACUGAGAUACGGUCCAGACUCCUACGGGAGGCAGCAGUGGGGAAUAUUGGGCAAUGGGGGGAACCCUGACCCAGCGACGCCGCGUGGGUGAAGAAAUCCUUCGGGAUGUAAAGCCCUGUUGUAUGGGAAGAGCGGAAGACGGUACCAUACGAGGAAGCCCCGGCAAGCUACGUG